rnacentral:lncRNA from 1 species
AUAAUUCAAAACAGAACAUGAAAAUUGGUAAGAAUCAAGAUUAAUCCAAUAAGAACAAAAUCCAAGUGGUCUCAUAUCAACAGCAUCAACCAAUUUCAUUUCAUAAAGCAUUUAGUGCAAAGCAUGAAAUUUGAAGCUCAUAGAAGCAAACAGAAUGAUUCAAUCCACAUCAACUCAAAAACAAUUCAAUAAAUCCCAAGAAAAAUCAUGGCUAAACAGCAUCCAUCACAUGGUCAUCAUACCAAAAUUCAAGUCAUUUGGAUAAGUGGAAG